GACGAUCAGCCACACUGGGACUGAGACACGGCCCAGACUCCUACGGGAGGCAGCAGCAGGGAAUUUUGCACAAUGGGCGCAAGCCUGAUGCAGCGACGCCGCGUGGGGGAUGAAGGCCUUCGGGUUGUAAACCCCUUUCAGGAGGGACGAAGCGAGAGUGACGGUACCUCCAGAAGAAGCCCCGGCCAACUACGUGCCAGCAGCCGCGGUAAUACGUAGGGGGCGAACGUUGUCCGGAUUUAUUGGGCGUAAAGAGCUCGUAGGCGGCUCAGCAAGUCGGCCGUGAAAACCCGAGGCUCAACCUCGGGACGCCGGUCGAAACUGUUGUGGCUAGGGUCCGGUAGAGGAGAGUGGAAUUCCCGGUGUAGCGGUGAAAUGCGCAGAUAUCGGGAGGAACACCAGUAGCGAAGGCGGCUCUCUGGGCCGGCACCGACGCUGAGGAGCGAAAGCUAGGGGAGCAAACAGGAUUAGAUACCCUGGUAGUCCUAGCCGUAAACGUUGGGUACUAGGUGUGGCGGAGUCAUUGACCUCUGCCGUGCCGAAGCUAACGCAUUAAGUACCCCGCCUGGGGAGUACGGA
rnacentral:rRNA from 1 species